rnacentral:rRNA from 1 species
GUUGUAUGGUUAAGUGACUAAGCGUACAUGGUGGAUGCCUUGGCAGUCAGAGGCGAUGAAGGACGUACUAACCUGCGAUAAGCCGUGAGCAGUCGGUAAGAGACAUUACGACUCACGGAUUUCCGAAUGGGGAAACCCACUUAGCAUAAGCUAGGUAUCGCUACGUGAAUACAUAGCGUAGCGAGGCGAACCGGGAGAACUGAAACAUCUAAGUACCCCGAGGAAAAGAAAUCAACCGAGAUUCCCUCAGUAGCGGCGAGCGAACGGGGAUUAGCCCUUAAGCAUCUUGGAAGUUAGUGGAACGGUCCUGGAAAGGCCGGCGAUACAGGGUGAUAGCCCCGUACACGAAAACAACCUUGAUGUGAAAUCGAGUAGGGCGGGACACGUGACAUCCUGUCUGAAUAUGGGGGGACCAUCCUCCAAGGCUAAAUACUCCUGACUGACCGAUAGUGAACCAGUACCGUGAGGGAAAGGCGAAAAGAACCCCUGUGAGGGGAGUGAAAUAGAACCUGAAACCGUGUACGUACAAGCAGUGGGAGCCCUUCGGGGUGACUGCGUACCUUUUGUAUAAUGGGUCAGCGACUUACAUUUUGUAGCGAGGUUAACCGUAUAGGGGAGCCGUAGGGAAACCGAGUCUUAACUGGGCGUCUAGUUGCAAGGUGUAGACCCGAAACCGGGUGAUCUAGCCAUGGGCAGGUUGAAGGUUGAGUAACAUCAACUGGAGGACCGAACCCACUAACGUUGCAAAGUUAGGGGAUGACCUGUGGCUGGGGGUGAAAGGCCAAUCAAACUCGGAGAUAGCUGGUUCUCCCCGAAAGCUAUUUAGGUAGCGCCUCGGACGAAUACUACUGGGGGUAGAGCACUGUUUGGGCUAGGGGGUCAUCCCGACUUACCAACCCCAUGCAAACUCCGAAUACCAGUAAGUAAUAUCCGGGAGACACACGGCGGGUGCUAACGUCCGUCGUGAAGAGGGAAACAACCCAGACCGCCGGCUAAGGUCCCAAAGUUCUGGUUAAGUGGGAAACGAUGUGGGAAGGCUCAGACAGCUAGGAUGUUGGCUUAGAAGCAGCCAUCAUUUAAAGAAAGCGUAAUAGCUCACUAGUCGAGUCGGCCUGCGCGGAAGAUGUAACGGGGCUCAAACCAGGCACCGAAGCCGCGGAUUCACACUAAGUGUGAGUGGUAGGGGAGCGUUCUGUAAGUCUGCGAAGGUGUGUCGAGAGGCAUGCUGGAGAUAUCAGAAGUGCGAAUGCUGACGUAAGUAACGAUAAAGGGGGUGAAAAGCCUCCUCGCCGGAAGACCAAGGGUUCCUGUCCAACGUUAAUCGGGGCAGGGUGAGUCGACCCCUAAGGCGAGGCCGAAAGGCGUAGUCGAUGGGAAGCAGGUUAAUAUUCCUGCACGACUUGUAAUUGCGAUGGGGGGACGGAGAAGGCUAGGUGGGCCAGGCGACGGUUGUCCUGGUGAAAGUGCGUAGGUGGUGUUUCUAGGCAAAUCCGGAGACACAACACUGAGACACGAGACGAACGUGCUACGGUGUGGAAGCCAUUGAUGCCCUGCUUCCAGGAAAAGCCUCUAAGCUUCAGAUUACAAGUCAUCGUACCCCAAACCGACACAGGUGGUCGGGUAGAGAAUACCAAGGCGCUUGAGAGAACUCGGGUGAAGGAACUAGGCAAAAUAGAACCGUAACUUCGGGAGAAGGUUCGCUCUUGACAGUGAAGUCCCUUGCGGAUGGAGCAGUUGGGAGUCGCAGUGACCAGAUGGCUGGGACUGUUUAUCAAAAACACAGCACUCUGCAAACACGAAAGUGGACGUAUAGGGUGUGACACCUGCCCGGUGCCGGAAGGUUAAUUGAUGGGGUUAGCGCAAGCGAAGCUCUUGAUCGAAGCCCCGGUAAACGGCGGCCGUAACUAUAACGGUCCUAAGGUAGCGAAAUUCCUUGUCGGGUAAGUUCCGACCUGCACGAAUGGUGUAACCAUGGCCAUGCUGUCUCCACCCGAGACUCAGUGAAAUCGAAUUCGCCGUGAAGAUGCGGUGUACCCGCGGCUAGACGGAAAGACCCCGUGAACCUUUACUACAGCUUGGCACUGAACAUUGAACCUACAUGUGUAGGAUAGGUGGGAGGCUUUGAAGGCGUGACGCCAGUUGCGCUGGAGCCGUCCUUGAAAUACCACCCUUGUAUGUUUGAUGUUCUAACGCAGGCCCCUGAAUCGGGGUCGCGGACAGUGCCUGGUGGGUAGUUUGACUGGGGCGGUCUCCUCCCAAAGAGUAACGGAGGAGCACGAAGGUUGGCUAAUCCUGGUCGGACAUCAGGAGGUUAGUGCAAUGGCAUAAGCCAGCUUAACUGCGAGACGGACAGGUCGAGCAGGUACGAAAGUAGGUCAUAGUGAUCCGGUGGUUCUGAAUGGAAGGGCCAUCGCUCAACGGAUAAAAGGUACUCCGGGGAUAACAGGCUGAUACCGCCCAAGAGUUCAUAUCGACGGCGGUGUUUGGCACCUCGAUGUCGGCUCAUCACAUCCUGGGGCUGAAGUCGGUCCCAAGGGUAUGGCUGUUCGCCAUUUAAAGUGGUACGCGAGCUGGGUUCAGAACGUCGUGAGACAGUUCGGUCCCUAUCUGCCGUGGGCGUUGGAUGAUUGAAGGGAGUUGCUCCUAGUACGAGAGGACCGGAGUGAACGAACCUCUGGUGUUCGGGUUGUCACGCCAGUGGCACUGCCCGGUAGCUAAGUUCGGAAUCGAUAACCGCUGAAAGCAUCUAAGCGGGAAGCGAGCCCUGAGAUGAGUCAUCCCUGACCCCUUGAGGGUCCUAAAGGGCCGUUGGAGACCACAACGUUGAUAGGUGGGGUGUGUAAGCGCGGCGACGUGUUGAGCUAACCCAUACUAAUUACCCGUGAGGCUUAACCAUACAACACCCAAGAAGUGUUCUG